rnacentral:rRNA from 1 species
GACGACGCUGGCGGCGUGCCUAACACAUGCAAGUCGAGCGAAGAAUACAUAAAGAAAUCUUCGGAUGGAAUUAUGUAUUUCUUAGCGGCGGACGGGUGAGUAACGCGUGAGGAACCUGCCUUGUACUAGGGGAUAGCCUCGGGAAACCGGGAUUAAUACCCUAUGACACUUGAAAGUCGCAUGACUUUCAAGUCAAAGCGAUUUAGCGGUACAAGAUGGCCUCGCGUCCCAUUAGCUAGUUGGCGAGGUAAUGGCUCACCAAGGCGACGAUGGGUAGCCGGCCUGAGAGGGUGAACGGCCACACUGGAACUGAGACACGGUCCAGACUCCUACGGGAGGCAGCAGUGGGGAAUAUUGCACAAUGGAGGAAACUCUGAUGCAGCGACGCCGCGUGAGCGAUGAAGGUUUUCGAAUCGUAAAGCUCUGUCCUAAGGGACGAUAAUGACGGUACCUUAGGAGGAAGCCCCGGCUAACUACGUG